AUUGAACGCUGGCGGCAUGCUUUACACAUGCAAGUCGAACGGUAACAGGCCUUCGGGUGCUGUCGAGUGGCGAACGGGUGAGUAAUGCAUCGGAACGUGCCCAGAGGUGGGGGAUAACGCAGCGAAAGCUGUGCUAAUACCGCAUGUGAUCUGAGGAUGAAAGCGGGGGACCAGGCAGCAAUGUUUGGCCUCGUGCCUUUGGAGCGGCCGAUGUCAGAUUAGGUAGUUGGUGGGGUAAAGGCCUACCAAGCCGACGAUCUGUAGCUGGUCUGAGAGGACGACCAGCCACACUGUGACUGAGACACGGCCCAGACUCCUACGGGAGGCAGCAGUGGGGAAUUUUGGACAAUGGGCGCAAGCCUGAUCCAGAAAUGCCGCGUGAGGGAAGAAGGCCUUCGGGUUGUAAACCGCUUUUGUACGGAACGAAAAGGCUCUGGCUAAUACCUGGGGCUGAUGACGGUACCGUAAGAAUAAGCACCGGCUAACUACGUG
rnacentral:rRNA from 1 species